AACCAUUCUCACCUGCGGCUAGACCUGCGGAGGGAUCAUUACCGAGUUUACAACUCCCAAACCCCUGUGAACAUACCUAUACGUUGCCUCGGCGGAUCAGCCCGCGCCCUGUAAAAAGGGACGGCCCGCCCGAGGACCCUAAACUCUGUUUUUAGUGGAACUUCUGAGUAAAACAAACAAAUAAAUCAAAACUUUCAGCAAUGGAUCU
rnacentral:misc_RNA from 1 species